rnacentral:rRNA from 1 species
GUAUGGCUGUUCGCCAUUUAAAGUGGUACGCGAGCUGGGUUUAGAACGUCGUGAGACAGUUCGGUCCCUAUCUACCGUGCGCGUUUGAGAAUUGAAAGGGAUCUGCUCCUAGUACGAGAGGACCGGAGUGGACGUACCCCUGGUGUUCCGGUUGUUACGCCAGUAGCAUUGCCGGGUAGCUAUGUACGGAAGGGAUAACCGCUGAAAGCAUCUAAGCGGGAAGCCUACCCUGAGAUUAGUUCUCACUGGAUCCUUGAGAUCCCUAAAGGACCCUAGAAGACUACUAGGUUGAUAGGCUGGGUGUUGAAGCGUGGUAACAUGUGAAGCUAACCAGUACUAAUUGUCCGUGAGGUUUGACUAUAUAACGUCCAAG